CAGCAGCCGCGGUAAUACGGAGGGUGCGAGCGUUGUUCGGAAUUAUUGGGCGUAAAGCGCGUGUAGGCGGUUUUUUAAGUCUGAUGUGAAAGCCCUGGGCUCAACCCGGGAAGUGCAUUGGAAACUGGGAGACUUGAAUACGGGAGAGGGUAGUGGAAUUCCUGGUGUAGGAGUGAAAUCCGUAGAUAUCAGGAGGAACACCGGUGGCGAAGGCGGCUACCUGGACCGAUAUUGACGCUGAGACGCGAAAGCGUGGGGAGCAAACAGGAUUAGAUACCCUGGUAGUCCACGCCGUAAACGAUGAGUACUAGGUGUCGCGGGUAUUGACCCCUGCGGUGCCGCAGCUAACGCAUUAAGUACUCCGCCUGGGAAGUACGGCCGCAAGGCUAAAACUCAAAGGAAUUGACGG
rnacentral:rRNA from 1 species